UAGUAACUGCGAGUGAAGCGGGAAAAGCUCAAAUUUUGAAUCUGGCAGUCUUUGGCUGUCCGAGUUGUAAUCUAGAGAAGUGUCUUCCGCGUUGGACCGUGUACAAGUCUCCUGGAAGGGAGCGUCAUAGAGGGUGAGAAUCCCGUCUUUGACACGGACUACCAGUGCUAUGUGAUGCACUCUCGACGAGUCGAGUUGUUUGGGAAUGCAGCUCAAAAUGGGUGGUAAAUUCCAUCUAAAGCUAAAUACAGGCGAGAGACCGAUAGCGAACAAGUACCGUGAGGGAAAGAUGAAAAGAACUUUGGAAAGAGAGUUAAACAGUACGUGAAAUUGCUGAAAGGGAAACGCUUGAUGUCAGUCGCAUUGAUCAGGGAUCAACCUUGCAUUCAUUUGCUGGGUGUACUUCCUGGUUGAUGGGUCAGCAUCAGUUUUGGUUUGUCAUACAAGGGUAAAGGGAAUGUGGCACUCUUCGGAGUGUGUUAUAGCCUUUUAUCGGAUGUGGUGACUGGGACUGAGGAACUCAGCAUGGCUUUUGCUUGUGCUUAGGAUGCUGGCAUAAUGGCCUUAAGCGACCCGUCUUGAAACACGGACCAAGGAGUCUAACAUGCCUGCGAGUGUUUGGGUGGCAAACUCGAGCGCGAAAUGAAAGUGAAAGUUGAGACCUCUGUCAUGGAGGGCAUCGACGCCCGGACCUGAGUCUUUGACAACGGAUCUGCGGUAGAGCAUGUAUGUUGGGACCCGAAAGAUGGUGAACUAUGCCUGAAUAGGGUGAAGCCAGAGGAAACUCUGGUGGAGGCUCGUAGCGAUUCUGACGUGCAAAUCGAUCGUCGAAUUUGGGUAUA
rnacentral:rRNA from 1 species